CGGGAUGUAGUACAGUUGGUAGUAUACUUGGUUUGGGACCAAGGGGUCGCACGUUCGAGUCGUGUCAUCCCGACCA
rnacentral:tRNA from 3 species